rnacentral:rRNA from 1 species
GAAGACCCCGAGUGUUAUCCGGAUUUAUUGGGCGUAAAGAGUACGUAGGUGGUUUAGUGCGUCUAAUGUAAAAUCUCAUUGCCUAACGGUGAGUCUGCAUUAGAUACGGCUAAACUAGAGGAUGCGAGAGGUUUGUGGAACGCACGGUGUAGGGGUGAUAUCCGUUGAUAUCGUGCGGAACACCAAAGGCGAAGGCAGCAAACUGGCGUAUUCCUGACACUGAGGUACGAAAGCGUGGGUAGCGAACGGGGAUUAGAUACCCCGGUAGUCCACGCUGUAAACGAUGCUGGCUAGCUGUUUCGAGUAUCGACCCCUCGGAGUGGCGCAGCUAACGCGUUAAGCCAGCCGCCUGGGAAGUACGGUCGCAAGGCUG